GUGCCAGCAGCCGCGGUAAUACAGAGGGUGCAAGCGUUAAUCGGAAUUACUGGGCGUAAAGCGUGCGUAGACGGUUAUGUAAGUCGGGUGUGAAAGCCCCGGGCUCAACCUGGGAAUUGCAUUCGAGACUGUGUAGCUAGGGUACGGAAGAGGGAAGCGGAAUUUCAGGUGUAGCGGUGAAAUGCGUAGAUAUCUGAAGGAACACCAGUGGCGAAAGCGGCUUCCUGGUCCAGUACCGACGUUCAGGCACGAAAGCGUGGGGAGCAAACAGGAUUAGAUACCCUGGUAGUCC
rnacentral:rRNA from 1 species